UUCUCGUAAAUAAAUAUUUACGUGACGUCACACUUCAGAGUAUGGAACAUACUCUACACCUCGGGUAAUAAUUUGAUUCGUGUGCUGAGAAUUUGACGUUUUGCUCUGUGAAGUGGCGAGACGAGAGACUUCACUUGUGGUUGGGGAUUUGGUUAGUAUGGAUGGCGUGUGAGGAUCAAAUUUGGAGGUUAGACCUCGUGUUAGUAAAAAUGUGUGACUUUUGAAUUAUGAAUCACCAAACCUAUCUAGGAGUGUUUGGGAAUAAAGAAGGUAUUAAUCCAAUGGGGUUUACAGCAUAACAUCAUCGUAUCACACGCCAUCCAUGUGAAAUCUUAAAUAACACCUCGAAACACCAAGAGGAAAAUCUCCAACCAUAAGUCACUGGGAGUAGUUACUUGGGGAACAAGCCUUUUGGAGACAUUCCAGCUCCUUUCGUAUUAGCACUUGGACCUACAGGAGGCAUGAUUUUUGCACUAUCCUAGUGCUCAUUUCCGGGGAUGCGCCAGCAACCUAUUUAGGAGUCGUUCGGGUUUGUUUGGGAACUACCAAUUUAGUUUACCUAUUUAUAUAACAUAUUUGUAUAUUAUGGUAUUAAGUUCCCAAACUCAUGUAUCAUUUUGCGGUACUGUACGUUGAGCUCUGCGUAUUUGCCCAAAAGGUAUUACUUCUAAUAUUUUAUUGUUUAUUGAGGUCGAUUUUAUGUCAU